AGCAUGACCCUUUCUCCCAGUUUUGCCCCCAGUUCAAUGUUUUUCACUACAAAGAAAUCAACCAGCCGAUUGAUCUCUAAUACAAAUAUAACGGCUGCCAUCAAUCAUGUUCAUCAUUGGCAUUAAAAGCUUCGACUAAACUAUUUGAUAUUAAACCCACGCCUCAAUCUCUAGCCUUUUUAUCUUACACCAACACACAUAUCAGAGAGGGAGAGGAGAGCAGGGGAGACGGAUCCAUGGAGAUCGAGAAACCGAUAGCGGUGGCGGUGGUGGUUGUGCUGGCCGCCCAUCAAUUCAAGGUAAGCAACAAUCAAUUAUCACUAUACAUAGCACCCCAAAUUCAUCGAUCUUAAUUUUUGAUUAAUUGCUUGUGUGUUGCCCUAAUUUACUAAUAAUCAGUCAAUCAUUUAUUUAAAUCAUGGUGAUUUCCAGCCAUCAUCGUCGACAGACCAGGUUCCUUUGCUAAAUUUUGGGGUUUUCCUUCUCGACCAAUUGUUUAAACGAAUUGUUGCCGGUGGUCUUGAUCGACCAAGAACCAAGUAUUUUCGUUUUUUAUGGCUUAAUUUGUUUGCUUUGUUUCAUGAACUUUAUGCUAUUGUUUGGUUUUGGUGUCCAAAAAAAUUAUCGAGUUUUAAGUUUUGGGUUCAUAUCAUGGCUAUGAAGUUGCUAAAAGGAUGGAAAGGGAUUUCAUUGGUUUCAAAAGAUUUAGUGGACUAAUUAACCACCUAACAGGUUAUUGCACCAGCAAUGUCUACAACCUGUGAGUUGGCAAUUCUUGUGACACAAAAAAGGGUUACUCAUGUUUUGGUAACCGAAGGUGCUGGCUAUAUUGGUUCUCACGCUACACUACGCCCUGUUAGUACAGGUUGGGAAGACCUGCAUUCACUUUUUUGUACUUGACAAUGGACUUUCGGGAUUUGAUUAAAAAAAAUUAAUUAUUUGAAACUAUGAAAGAAUGAACAGACUUGUGGGGUUAUCUCGUAAGUGGAUUUAUUUUGAACUUUCUUUUCAUUUCUGAAAUAUAACUGGUGUGUAAAUGUUGUGCAGCUGCUUGUGAUAAGUGCCUCAACAAAAGGAAAGGAAUCGUGUUGCCAAAGGCCCUUGUUGUCCUUGAGCUUGUGUAACUUAUUGCCAAGCUUGAGUCUGAACACCAUAACCCUCCGGCCACUGGUUCUGUGUGCUCGGGUAGGCUGAAGAAGCAGGUGAAACACCACCAGUUUUAGCAAGCUUGGCUCUGGUAAGAUAACGGUCUUAGGUUUGAAGUGUCUAAAUUAUGUAUUGUAUAUCUGAAUUUAUGAUCUGAAUUGAAUGGAUCACAUAUGUUAUUUUGCCAAUUGUUUGCGCUUCUUACUAAGUGGAUGUGGUGAUAUAAAUCAGAGGCCAAUAGUUUAUGGAAAGCAGUCAUUGACUCUCUCCAUAACACUAAGAAGUGUUGGUCGUUUAUUCUAGUUAAUAAUUCCUUAGCUGGUGUAUGGAAGUGGAUCGUUAAUGAGUUAGACAAGAUAAAAGUGGGUGAGAUAAAGUUGUCCCAAAAUUUUAAAGGGGUGGCUGGAGAUGGGAGAUGCAUUCGGCUGUGGCUUGACCUGUGGUUAGGUAGUAUGCCUUUAAAGGAGUGUUAUCCUAAUUUGUUAAACUUGAAAAAAUUAAAAAGUGCAAGGUUUUCAAAAGGUAUAAUUCGGAGAGUAAAAGCUUUAUGGGUUUAUGGGAGUGGUUCUGUGUUCCGAGCACGGGAAUCGAGUUAUCUGAGUGGGAUAGUUGUAUUGAAAAGCUGGAUUCUAUAAACCUCCACGGUGAUAAAGAUCAAUGGGUCUGGAUUGGCGGAAAAGAUAGCGAUUUUCAGUCAGAGCGGUCAAAAGGUUCUUGAGAAGUGAUAGAGAUUGCAGUAACAACUUUGUUCUCAAGUGGUCGCAAAGAAAUGCAAUAUAUUGGUGUGGUGUGGUGUGCUGAGAUGGGGAGGAUCCCGACAGUUGACGCGCUUUUAAAACGAAACUGCUACAACGGAGAAGACAUGUGUGUUUUAUGCGAAGACGGACCUGAAACAGCUGAUCAUCUCUUCUGUAGCUGUUACGCGGCUGCUGUGUUGUGGAAUCGGGUCAGUCUCUGGUGCAAGAUAAGUCCCAUCUACACUUUUUCGGUUAAAGACUUGCUAGAAAUUUACAAGUACGCAGGUUUGAAGAAGCACGAGGAAGAUAUCCUGCAUGGUAUUAUUACGGUCGGCUGCUGCUGGAUCUUAUGGAAAAGGAGGAACGGCAUCAGGUUUUCUGGCAUUAGCGUCGAUAUUGGUAAAAUCUAUCAAGAUGUUAUGGUGGUUGGUUAUUUUUGGUAUAGGAGUAGAUCUAAAAAUAGAGAAUUGUCUUGGGCUAACUGGUGAUCUUUUCAAAUGUUUUAAAGGCCUGUGCUGCUGUUGUGUUUUGUUGUUGCCCCUGUGUUGGGGUGGUGUUGUUUAUAAAAGUUACUUUCAAAAACAAGGAUGCUUCUUGAUCUAGAGUUAGUUCUAGAAGACGGCACUUAAGAUCAUGCUCGCAAAACGGAUAUCUAUAAAUUAUCAUCAUUUUAAGAUGGUAAAUGAAAGAUUUCAUUACCUUUGCUAUAUUUGUGGCAGUGGCUGCAAAAUGUUUAUAAUUCUUGCCUCCCAAUCAUAGUGGUUCCCCGUUAUUAUCUUACUGUAAAUUCAUGUGUAUGUAUGCUAUCAGUUGAGCCACCAUUAAACGCUGAUCUUACUGAAGAAGGCCUCUCCUCUGAACAAGAUUCCUGAAGUAAUUGUUAACAAACGAAUUUGGUGUUACCAAAGCAAGCUGUGCCAAGUUUCUAUCUUUGUCACCUCUACCAUUUAUCUGGAUGAUGGGUUUAGUGUGUUGGUUGAUAUGGAUGAUGGGUUUGGUUGAUACUCAAUUCUCUCGCCAAUCUUUGUCACCUCUACCAUUUAUCUCCAUAUCAAGGAAAUACGUAUAGGGGUUCAUUGAUGAUCAAUCGACCCGUCCAUCUUGCCACCUCUACUGUUUAUCUCCACAUCAAGGAAGAAGGGUUGUCAAUCACAUUUUUUAUAAUGCGUUGAUUUGAGCAAAAAAAAAUAUGAAUAUGGUUUCAUUAUCGCCC